rnacentral:lncRNA from 1 species
UCAUAUUAACGCAACCCAAUCUUGCAAUUUGCAUCCUGCUUAAUUGGCCUAGCUAGGAGUACUUUUACUCAUGAUCGAGAUCUUGCAUGUGUUGCAAUGGAUUGGAUGCCAUUGCAGGUCCUCGGCCGACGCCGAUCGUGGCCGGGAGAGUGCAGCUGGUGAGCAAGAACAACAGGGAGGCGCCGCUGGAGGAGAACACCCAGAAGGUGAUGCUGGAGCUGACCGGCGGCGACUCCACCGCCGACCGGUCCGGGCUGGACCUGGUGGCCGUCCUGGACGUGAGCGGCAGCAUGCAGGGCGAGAAGAUCGACAAGAUGAAGACCGCGAUGCAGUUCGUGGUGAAGAAGCUGAGCACCAUCGACCGCCUCUCCAUCGUCACCUUCUCCGACGCCGCCUCCAGGCUCUGCCCACUGCGCCAGAUCACCGACGCGUCCAAGGCGGACCUCCAGGGGAUCGUCGACGGGCUCAAGCCUGGCGGCAACACCAACAUCACCGACGGCCUCGUCACGGGGCUCAAG